GAGACUGUAUCAGAGCCUUGAGUUAAGAAUUCUCUUACCUCGAGUUUGAAGGGGCUGUUAGAGGAUAUAAUUCAAUCAGGAAUUAGUUAGUUUGUUAUAGUCAGUUAGACUUUAGAUCGAUAGCUAGUUUCUCUAUAUAUAGAGUGCUAAUUGUAUUACUUUCUUUAUCUUUUGUUAAUAUGAUUCCAUUUGAGUCGAAAUAUCUCUCAAAACUCUCCAAGCGCCCGGUUUAUUGAGAAUGACGAUCAUCCAUCAUCAAACUAGUAAUAUUGUAGUUUUUGAAACUGGGUAGCUAUGAACCACUGACUAGUUUUUUUUCAUGUGUCUGUCAAAUUAGAAAAUGCUUAAACAUUUGAGAUUUUGCUGCGUUGUUUUGCUUCGUUGUUUGCACGUGAUUUCACAUUGACAUGGAACUGGAAAGUGGAAACAUUGUAUGUAUGGAUGUUGAGUUUAAGUUCGACAAUGCCUUGUCACGAUACUCUGGUAAAAUUUAUAGAUGUGUUUUAGAAAACAACUUCAUUAAGUUCAUAUUUGUAAGCUAUUAUGGAGAAUUUGCUAAGAGUCAGGUGUUUAUGUCAUGAAGCUUGCCCUCUAUAUCCUUGUCACAACACUUAAUUCUGAUUUAUGGUUUUUAUAGAUCAUCCUCUUAAAUAAGCAUCGAC
rnacentral:lncRNA from 1 species